GGGCUAUUAGCUCAGUUGGUUAGAGCAUACCCUUGAUAAGGGUAAGGUCGCUAGUUCAAGUCUAGCAUGGCCCU
rnacentral:ncRNA from 12 species